GGAAAGAUGGCAGAGUGGUUGAUUGCAUCGGUUUUGAAAACCGACGUGGCCUUCACGGUCAUCGGGGGUUCGACUCCCUCUCUUUCCG
rnacentral:tRNA from 6 species